GGGGAUGAUGAUACAUCGAUGUUCUGAUUUUGUGAUGAUCACGCCCUUCACUGACCC
rnacentral:snoRNA from 1 species